UUUUAAUAAUAAGAUAUCGAAUGAUUAAUAUAAAUUUUAUAUCAAUUGAAUUGGUAUCUAUUGAAAAUUCGUGUCCUAUCUCGUUCCAAUCCGUUGCUUCCAGACUUAUCUAGGUAUGAUUUAUAUGUAUAUAAAUAUUAUCAUUCAACGUAUCAUACUUACAUUAAAUUUUGAUUAUAAGUUCAAACAAGUUUUUUCAGCCACACGCACGACUACUUGAGCGGAUUUACGAGAAUUUUUUCCGAAUUUGAUUCACUGCCAAGAAGCACGAGACCCAGAGUGCCCAGAAGUGGGCGACGGAGGGACGUACACACUUCGCGCAGAUCCGGAAAGGACGGUCUUCGUGAGAAAACGCACCGCUCUGUAAUUAUUCUCGAGUUAUUAUAAUUCAUAAUUACAGAGAAUCUAACCGGUAAACCGUACCAUACCACGAAAAACUUCACCAGCAAAUUAUUGAGAAUCGAUCGGAUCUACUUUCUCGGCACACACGUGUCGGCUUACACCGAAACGGACUUGAAAAAUUGGACGCAAUACCUUGAAGGCCAUUGUUGCUCGGUUGAUCGGUACUUGGUUCGAUCUUGAGUUCGUAAUGCGAGUGAUACCAAAGGAUGGAUGGUUUUCGGCUUUUAUACUCUGUUCGGGAAUCGCGAGAGUGGCCCGCUGUACUCUACAUACACAUACACAUAAAACAGAGCAUAUUCGCACUGAUGUAACAGGGGUACCUUCGACGGUUGCCCGAUUCGCGGCCGACGAGGAACGAAAUUGCGCAAGAAAUCGAACCACGCCCAACAAAAGCGAAGAACGGGAUCAGAACAUUGGGCCUCUCUGCUCUCGUAACUUGAAGAUCCGAAAAGUGCAUCGGUCGUCGUCUUCAUCGUCGUCGGGGACUAGGCCACGUCCUUGCCGAGUUAGCUAAUCCUCCUCCGUACGUCUUAAUUGCAAGGCGCAUUACCAUUGUGACGUGAAAUGAAAUUUAAUCAAUGUGACACAUUGCAUAGUAUAGUAUGCAAUAAGGAAUUACACAUUGCUACUUGCAUCAACUUGCGUGAGCGACGACAGUCUUUCGAUCGACAUUCGAACAGAACUUAAUGGAUAUGUAGAGGCUGGCCUGCCUGGAUACCCCAAAGCCAGAUAAUUAUGCGAACUGUUUCGAAACUUGUCCUGUGUAAUUUUGAAGCCUGAUGGAUGUAUCUCCUGGAUCUCGAAAUACAUCAGCUGACGGGCGUACCGCCAGGCUAGAUCGUUCCAAGUGUUUGCGAUAUAUGGAUCGGGAGCGAGGGUGCGCCGUCGUAACUGCCGGCCAAGUUCAAGUGCGGUCGACCGUCGACGAACUUUCCAAGUCCGACACAGGGAUUGUCGGUGGGGACCCAUACGGUGGUGGUUCGGGCCAUCGGGUAUAUAAAGCGGCUGUGAUCAACACUGCACAUCAUCAGUUUCUCUUUGGUCGAUCCAAACCAACCAAAUCUACAAACAAUGGCGUUCAAGAAUCACGAUUCCCCAAAUCGCACCGGAAGAGCAUCACGCAAGAGUCGCAUGCAAUUAGAGACGGCACGUGAGAAAAAGCACCGCAGGUUAAUAGAGGAAGAAGAAUUACACAAAUGUGUGAGCCACCGAAUUUGCGCUCGCUCGUUUGCACGUGGCCCAUUUGCCAUGGGAGAAAGGCGUCCAAAUUCCAGGCCUCGAUUUAAAUUAUGUUGUUACAUAACAGGGCGGACCGUUCGCGGUUUUCGGGAAACACACCUUCCAAACAGAUACCUUAUUGGAUUCGACCUGCAAUUCCAUAGAAAUGAUCGAUAUACGACGAAACAAUAUCAUCCUUGACAAUAACGACCUUGAUGCCAAGUUUCUGGGGUCUAUAACUGGAGUACAAACAACAACGCAGAGAGGGGUUUGAGAUGCGGACGAAUAGAAUUUACGCUAAAGUGGCGGCGGGAUAAGCGAGACCAGUGAGAGGUGCAGCGUAGGCGAUUGGGGAGGAAUACGCAGCACUAUAGGGGUGCGGUCUGCUGUUGCUGCUGCUCCUGUUGCUGGGUCUGCAAUCUCGAGGGUCGUCUCUGCUGCUCCUGCAACCGUUGUAAUUGCAACUCCUGCUGCUGACGUUGCUGUUGUCCCUGCUGGAAGCGCUGGAACUGCUGAGGCUGAAACUCCUGCUCGCGCGUCGUCGCUGCCGCCGAUGAUGUCGAAAGACGCGACGUCCGGGCCUCGACUACCUCGACGUCGAAGUCGGAUCCGCUGCUGGGAAUCGACGGAGCGAUCGGCGCCGGGGCGACUGGUCCAAGAGGCGCCGGGGCGAUCGGCGUCAGCGCGGCCGGUCUGAGCGGCGCCGCGAGGGCGGCGACGAUCGGUUCUUUGCUGACGAUCGCAUUGAAACCGUUGAUCGGAUCCGCGGUGUACUCGACGAUGCGACGCGUCCCAUCGGCCUCGAUCAGACUGUAACUACCUCGCACAAUGUCGCCGUUCCGGGUCUCAUAUUGGGCCUUGGAAUCGCCGGUUAUCGCGUCUUGCACGUCAUAAGCAAAGCUAUACUGCGGUGCCGCGUCGAAGUCCUCCAGCUUCGCUAAGGGUGUUGCUGCUGGUAGCAAGGCGGGCACUAAUGCUCCGCGAGCGAGCGCCGUCAAUCCCAGGAAUAAGAAGAGCUGGAAAUUCGUCGACAAUAAUUAGAAGAUUUUUUAAAUUGCUUUAUCGAACUUAUAAGAACCUUUAAUUUUUAAAAACCGAAUAGAGGGGUUGUUUUCAUGUUAUCCUUUUGUCAAUUCAGAUACCCAAAGCAAUUUUAAAUGUUCAAAAUGUUUCAGUUUUUCUUUGUAUUUGGAAAAGAAAUGGUCACAGUGUAAUGUGUCGAAAUUACGCAAUUGAUACCUGGGUACCUAUUGAUGAAAAGGUGACACUAAAAUAUAUAUAUUGACAAAUGGAUGUAAGAUUCAAUGAAUUAAGGAUCUAAAUGUUUUUUUCACGCGUAUGUAUAUAUGAUAUUGUGAUAUUAUUUUAAUGCAAUAAUUACGAUGAGUAGAUUCCGAGAUAAGAAUUUUAGAUAUAAAAUUCUAACACUCGAGUCUCUUCCCUUACCGUGCCAGCCAUGUUUAUUCGCAGGAGGAUCGUCGAGAAGACUGAUACUCCGGGAUAAGAUUGUUCGUACUUUUAUACGCUGUCGUCGAAAUGUUUGUGUCAUCCGCGACGACGAUGAUGCUCCUUGUAGCCGAACUAGCGCCAAUGUCACCCGAGCCCCACCUAAUCACUCUGUCUGUCUCCGUUUCUCUCCUUUUUUUUCUACGUUUUCUUCUCCAGGGGACCGUGCGGUGACCUCCGCGACGAUCAUUGCGAUGUACAAGGAGUCCGCUGUGUUGUACCAAUGUUUGACCCGUCGUUGUAUGUAUACGAAACUUAAGUUUCUUCAUUUCGUCGUCCGCCCGUGCAUACACGCGACUUGGAUGCCAAUAUGCCGAAGACGCGAGGUCGUCCGACGAAAUCGGGUGCCUGAGUACAUUGAACGCCUUCGGCCUGCUUCAACCUAACUGUCGAUGAGAUGUACCAAAUUCACGGGGACUCUAAGAGAGACGGAGACCUAGAAGCGGAAUGCAAUUUUAUUAUUCGAAUUGAAGGGAUGACAUCUUCAACAUCAUCACUGCAAUUUAAAGAAGAAUGCGUUGCUUAAUGCUAAUCCGAAGCCAGUGCAAGCGAACGGUUGAUAACCGAGAUACGCAUGUAAUCGUACGCUAUGCACGCAUGCCAUGUGCCAAUACAUGUCGAACACAGGCGGUCAAUCAAGGUCGUUCGACGAAAGCGUGAAGACGUGCAUCCUCUGUACAAUCGGCCGAAUUCUAUUAAACAUUCACAGCGGAAACGACGACGAGUCUGCCAACAUCAAUCGACGCAUGCUAUAUUGCGUUAAUUAUCAGACACGUAAUCGUUAAUCGCUAUUACUCCACUAUUUACUAUAGCAAUACACGUAUACAUGACAUAUGUUAAAAUCAUAAUUAUUAAACGCGUUUCAAAUAUAUUUCUAUUUUAAAUUUGUGGAUAAGUAAAUGUAAACAUUUUCCAA